CGUAUAGCGUAGCGUAGGGUAGCGUAGCGUAGCGUAGCGUAGCGUAGUGUAGCGUAGUGUAGUAUAGCGUAGUGUAGUGUAGUGUAGUAUAGUGUAGUAUAGUAUAGUAUAGUAUUGUAUAGAAUAGUAUAGUCUAGUGUAGUCUAGUGUAGUGGUGUCGUGUCGUGUCGUGUCAUGUCGUGUCAUGUCGUGCCGUGUCGUGCCAUAUCGUAUCGUAUAGUAUAGUACACUAUAAUACACUACAGUACAGUACAGUAUAGUGUAGUAUAGUAUAGCGUAGUAAAGUAUAGUACUUGUAGCUCAGAGGACUAGAGCACGUGGCUACGAACCACAGUGUUGGGGGUUCGAAUCCCUCCUCGCCCAC
rnacentral:lncRNA from 1 species